rnacentral:rRNA from 1 species
UGGGGAAUUUUGGACAAUGGGCGCAAGCCUGAUCCAGCAAUGCCGCGUGCAGGAUGAAGGCCCUCGGGUUGUAAACUGCUUUUGUACGGAACGAAAGGCUCUGGCUAAUACCUGGGGCACAUGACGGUACCGUAAGAAUAAGCACCGGCUAACUACGUGCCAGCAGCCGCGGUAAUACGUAGGGUGCGAGCGUUAAUCGGAAUUACUGGGCGUAAAGCGUGCGCAGGCGGUUUUGUAAGACAGAGGUGAAAUCCCCGGGCUCAACCUGGGAACUGCCUUUGUGACUGCAAGGCUGGAGUGCGGCAGAGGGGGAUGGAAUUCCGCGUGUAGCAGUGAAAUGCGUAGAUAUGCGGAGGAACACCGAUGGCGAAGGCAAUCCCUGGGCUGCACUGACGCUCAUGCACGAAAGCGUGGGGA